rnacentral:rRNA from 1 species
AUGAACGCUGGCGGCGUGCCUAAUCCAUGCCAGUCGAGCGAACGGACGAGAAGCUUGCUUCUCUGAUGUUAGCGGCGGACGGGUGAGUAACACGUGGAUAACCUACCUAUAAGACUGGGAUAACUUCGGGAAACCGGAGCUAAUACCGGAUAAUAUUUUGAACCGCAUGGUUCAAAAGUAAAAGACGGUCUUGCUGUCACUUAUAGAUGGAUCCGCGCUGCAUUAGCUAGUUGGUAAGGUAACGGCUUACCAAGGCAACGAUGCAUAGCCGACCUGAGAGGGUGAUCGGCCACACUGGAACUGAGACACGGUCCAGACUCCUACGGGAGGCAGCAGUAGGGAAUCUUCCGCAAUGGGCGAAAGCCUGACGGAGCAACGCCGCGUGAGUGAUGAAGGUCUUCGGAUCGUAAAACUCUGUUAUUAGGGAAGAACAUAUGUGUAAGUAACUGUGCACAUCUUGACGGUACCUAAUCAGAAAGCCACGGCUAACUACGUG